rnacentral:miRNA from 1 species
GCGUCGAGCACCGUGCUGGAGGA